AGAAAUAGGCGGGGUCUUUGCCUUUGUGGCUUUGAUAACGCUAUAUGGAAUCCUUGGGACGGUUUCAUUACGGUAUUUUCAAUGGUUUAAUCCGUGAUUAAGGUUAGGUAAGGGUUAUGGUUAGGGGGAGGGACAUCCCAAGGAUUCCAGAUAGCGCUAACAAAAUUAGACGCCGGCAUUUUCCCACAAUCCUUUUCAUCUGUAAAGUGACCUCUGGUGUUGCUGUUGUGCAAAAUUUCGGAGCAGGCUAACCUACACAAACCAGCAGCAAAAUGGUCCCUCCAGUGGCAGUGUCACCGCUUAUUAAGAUGAACUAAAGCCUAUUGCUGCGGAGGAAAGAAGGGUUGAGGAAGAGGAGAAGAAGGUUCAUGAAGAACAAGAGAAAAUUGCCAAGGCGCUAGCUGAAGCCAGUGAAGAAUCGAUUUUGAAAUGAGCUGGCACUGGGAGAAGUUACUUCGAAGCUCUUCACACUGCUCCUGUAUUUUUCCACUCUUAUUUUCCUGGAUAUACUUGGUCCAAAACUCUCCGUUAUUUUACUGACGUGUGCACUCUAACCGAUAAACCCUCACUUGGUCUGGAGACCAAAUAUAGUUUUUUGUAGUCAUUUACAUGGCAUAUAAAAUAAUGGCUUGCUAUUUGGAUUCAGAACUGUAAUAUCACAAAUGCAGUAUUGUAAGUAAAGUUAAAUGUUUGUACCCUUGUUACACACCCUCAUGACAAUGUCAUACAUGCUACUUGAUAAAUAAAUGGUAAAUAUUUA